rnacentral:rRNA from 1 species
UACGAAGGGGGGCUAGCGUUGCUCGGAAUCACUGGGCGUAAAGCGCACGUAGGCGGAUUUGUAAGUCAGGGGUGAAAUCCCGGGGCUCAACCUCGGAACUGCCUUUGAUACUGCAAAUCUCGAGUCCGGAAGAGGUGAGUGGAAUUCCUAGUGUAGAGGUGAAAAUUCGUAGAUAUUAGGAAGAACACCAGUGGCGAAGGCGGCUCACUGGUCCGGUACUGACGCUGAGGUGCGAAAGCGUGGGGAGCAAACAGG